GAUCCUGGCUCAGGAUGAACGCUAGCUACAGGCUUAACACAUGCAAGUCGAGGGGCAGCAUUUUUAUGGCAAUAUAAAAGAUGGCGACCGGCGCACGGGUGAGUAACACGUAUCCAACCUGCCGAUAACUCGGGGAUAACCCUUCGAAAGAAGGCCUAAUACCCGAUGGCAUAUCCCUUCCGCCUGGUUGGGAUAUUAAAGAACUUCGGUUAUCGAUGGGGAUGCGUUCCAUUAGCUUGUUGGCGGGGUAACAG
rnacentral:rRNA from 1 species